AUUAUUUCUGUCUGCUAAUUCCGUUACCGUCUCGAGACGCCACUAAUUUCUGUGUGCGUUCCCUUGUUCUCACGUUGCGUGCGUACGUUUCCUAUGCCUACUCGGUACACCGAUUUGUGGCGUGACGCCGAUUUCGUGCAGAACAAAGUGCGGACGCGCUGUCAAAACGAUCUAAAUUGACGCGCGUCUCGGGGUUAGUCGCGCGUAUUCAUUGCGCCUAAUAAUGCCAUCUUCUUCCCGGCACGUUUAGCCAUUUGUGAGCGCUAAGAAAUGCGAGGCUCCCGCACGUUGCAGACGUAAACAUGAGAUUCUUUCCUCAACCGCGUUUUAUUACAUUUCUCUCAUUUCGUUUAGUAUUUUAAACGAUGGUUAUCACACGUUCGCGUUUGGUAAGUUGAGGGAAUUCUCUCCGUGAAACUAGGGUAAGAACGAAUUUUUUUAUGAUAUUAAUAGAAAAGCGUAAUUGAGUUGUUAUGCGUGCCGCGCGAGACUCGGACAGGGUCGAGAAGCUAACUCGGGAUUAAUCGCCUGUAAUAAAUCGGCGGGCGAAGCUAGCUGGAGCCGCGAUGUUCUCGCGUGGUUGUUUAAAUUUCAUUCUUGGUGUUUCGGGACACGUCGGUGUUUUAUUUAACUUCUUGCGCAAAAUUGACGAUCAUAUAAUGUUCAUUGUCUUCGACGGACUCGCUAACAUCAUAGCUCAAAAUUCCUGGCUAAUUUAAAUCCGAUUCGAAAAGUUUUUGAUCUUUGGUAUAUUUCGGAUCACUUUUCAGAAAAAUUGCUGCUUUUUGGAUGGAGAGUGCCAAGCGUGUACUCGAAACACGACCAUGAAAAAGAUAAAACGACAGCGAAAUUUUAUUUCAUAACAAAACACUCGCGCGGCGCGACAUGGCGCGCAAAAUAAUAAUUUAUUAUAUAGCAUUUAUUUCGAAAAAAAGAGAUUGAAACCACGAAAAUUAUCCGACUUGUCUUCUCUCUCUCUUUCUCUCUCUCUCUCUCUCUCUGUGGAUGCGCGUUUCAUCUUGUUGCUGCUUUGCCCGUGAAAUGCAAUUCUGCGAGUUGCAAACACGAAGACCUCGCUCCGCACGACGACCAUACGACCACUUCCAAGAGACAAGUGGCGGGCCUUAAGGAUGCAAUACUCGGCGUGGUGCAAAAAACCGCCGCUUUGCCGGAUGCAGCCUAGAGUGACGACCGAACGCGCGUACGUUCCUUUCUUCCGUACGUGUGUGAGCGUGCGUGUAUUCCUGCCCUUUUACGUUGCGUCGCCUCGUGACGAAAAUCCAGGCGGCCAAUUUCCUGCUUGGAUCUUUAUACGGUCCAAAAGUUGCUCAAGCCCUCGGACGGACGGUAUCAACAGACAGACGUUGCUCAUAUACCGUUGUGCCUUGGAAAGUACAUUAGAAUAUGUCUACUCGUACUUUCUAAACGCGGCUACACGAAAUCCAUAAUGUUCUAAAUCUCUCGAGCUCCCGAUCUCGAGUUCUCGGAAGCUCCAACUCCAUCUCCAUCAAGUCCAUGAAAACUCUUCACAGUUCUGAUCUUUUAACGCUCCUCGUCGCAAAAGUGAUAAUUUUAAAGACGCAUAAAAUAAGAGCACGAAUAUUCUAAAUUCGCAAAGUCCCGAAAGUUACGCGGGCCGGAACUCCGAAGAAAAUAAUGUUUCAGUACGUGAGCGAAAUCGCAACACGACAGCAUGUACGUGCUCGCGCGCUCACGUCGCGUCGGCUCCGUAGUUCUGCGUGCAGGCUGAAACGAUAAAAGGCCGCGGCUGGAUCUCGACGUGCGAGCCUCGCCAUCGGAACGCGCGGCGCCGAUGCCUCGUCGCGGGGCAUUUCCGUGGUCGGCGACGUUCGGAAUAAGCAUCGGAUAUCGUCUUGUACUCCGGGCAUUCCGGAGCGCACGACAUCUCGGUCACCACGGUACUUACGGUCCUGGUAGCGUGGGCCUCGGUAAAGGCGUGGGCGUGCACCGUGCUUCUUGCUUCUCCGGAGUUCUCUGCACCGGGAACGCGACCCAACCGCGCUCACGAGGGAACACGAAAGCACGCUGGAAAUUUUUCAAACCACCGAACUAACAGUUAUCGAAACGCUAAUGUAAUAUUAUCCUUUCAUCAGGUACAUUAGCGCGGUACCAAACGCGGUACCGUUUUACAUUCUGACGUGAUUACUCUCGUCACUUGUGAUUCAUCCAGAAAUUAAUAAACUAAGUAAAAGCUAAUUAUUCGCUAAACGCGAAAACUUGAUCGCUUUGAGCACCUAUUUUAUGGUAAAGGAGUAACUAAUUACAAUACACGGGAUGAACGUGGGCCUUGAGAUCGUUAAGAUUGUACGUGUGAUACCUCUUCGUUUCAGGAAUAUACCCAAUAUUUCUCGUCAAAGUAGCUGGAAAGUCGAGAGGGAACUUAAUAACAGGAAAUGCGACUUGUAUGGUGGACAUCACGCACGGCUUUGCGCUUGCAGUCGCAGAGAGUGCGUUGAUAUCGCUAGAAUUAAUAGAGAGGAUCGCGGUGUGGCGGGACAAUUUGUAUGCGACGAAGUGUUCUCGUAAGAUCGGUGUAAUGUGACCACGCGACUGCCGCGAGAAUCGUGCGCGUAACGCGGCUUCUUCGAGGCAGGUUCUUACGCGUGUACGCUCUUACGUCUUACGUACGCGAGGUUCGUACGCGUGUGCUUAGAUCUUCAUCCGAGACGCCAUUGAACUUGAUUUCCCGCGGCCUCGCUUGCACGUGCAGAAAUUUUAAAGGAGAACCACAUCGCCUGCGGCGGCGCAGGUUCGCUCGCGAGACCGGAACGAUGCAUCCACCGAGUCUCCUUGCCUUCUCCCAUUUAAUCCUAGACUUGGCCGAACCAACCAACCCUACGUGCGCAACGUGACGCUAUCAGUGUACCGAGCGUGCAGGAGAUGCAAAUGCACUUUGCUUGUUACAUCACAUUUAUGUAAUUCGCGUUCCCAUCCGAAAAACACAUCACAAAAAUGCACGAUUCUGGAUCUCUUCCAUGCUAAUCGGUGCGAAACGAUGAUCCAGAAAUUAUGUAUUUUACUAGUUGUCGCCAUUCGAUUCGGUUUUCUUAAAAGUUUUCAUUUUGACGAACACUGGGGACAGAAUGGCAAUCGGUUAUGACUGUUACGACGUGAGUUAUCGCUUCUUCCGAUUUCUUUCUGGACGAUGACGCGAGCUGGAUAACAUAUCGAAACAGGAUCGUGCGGCCCUUUUUCUCUCCGUUUUGCGACAUCCGCCGCGUUUACCACGAUGAUGGGGAAAGGGGGACGAAAGGAUGUUUAUGGGCUUUGUUCCUCUUCGCGUGAACUCGUAUCUCCGCAGCUUUUGAUUGCAUUCGCGCCCACGCGAAGCGAUAGGAUUUUCGCCGUGCGAGUUAUCAUCGCUCGUUGUGCGACUCGUUCCGACUGAUGCCCGGCAGACAUAAACCCGCAAUCAUUUUCGCUGCGAUAUCCGCGCGGGAGAUUAUAUACGAGCCGGUUACGAUUGCAACGGUGCCGCGUUUCCCAAACGCGUUUCUUUUUCCGCAGAAAGCGCUCGGUGCUAAACGGGAAGAACGAAGUGCGAUUAAGGAAGAAAUCGAGAUCAAAAUGAACCGUGCCGACGAAUAUUCCCGGGCAUUUUUCCCAUCAGCUCGGCCAAGUCGUGCGCGUCUUCCUCGUUAAGGAGAUCGACGAGAUCGCGAGAUCGAGGAAGCUGGAGAACACGUAGCCGGAGCCGGGCUCGGAACCGGCCACGAUGCGGAGUGUGAACGAACCUUUAUCUCGAUUCGCGCGCGACGCUCCGCUACGUAUAAGGGAAUCGUAACGAGUAGCGACAUUAGGCAUCCCAGCGACUGAACCCCCUCGCGGUUGGCGGGGAUCCGGUUUUAUCGUCCGUACCGGGUAUACUAUGCGCGCGAGUCCGAUCCACGAACGAGAGAGAUAGCACGCGGGGGACGAUCCGUACGUCGCCGGAUCGGGAAUACGCGGUCGCCUUUUUAUUCGGCUCUUAUCCGCCGCACCGGCGCGGCGCGGCGCGUCGCGGCCCGCAACAGUUGAAUCCGGAAUCGCGCUGCGAGAUCUGACGGAUAAACCGGCCCGACACCCGACCCUUGACCCACCGAUGCUCGCCUGUUGGUCCGCUCAUCUUUUUCCCUUCGUUUCUAAUCUCGUUAUUCAUGAGCACUUAUCUAGCUUCAGGAUAUUUAGUUCUAACGCUUUGACCGCCGCGGAUCUCAUGCAUCGCGGAGGACGGGCGAUUUGUCUCUCUUUGAUCUGAAGCCCCACGAGGAAACGUGUGCGGGAUGCGAUUUAGAUGGCUCUAAACGGUUUCCGUCUUUUUAAAUAAUUGCAACGUGUAAGUUACGAAAUAUCGCAACUGGACAAUCGAUGUGUCGUAACAUAACCGUUGCAGUAAAUACCUGUUGUUUACGUUCGGUCAUUAGUGUAUUUUGAGGAAUGUCACGCGUAGCUUGUGAAGAUUGCGAAACUGCGAGCAGCGACACUUUAACCGCUGAUAAAACGUGCGAAAACUGAGCGGCUUUAAAGGCUCGCUGUGCACGUUCCAGACGUUAUCCGCUCGGUAAAUUUCCUUUAUGGAAAUGCAUUUCUAGAAACUAACGGAAGACAAUAAAACAACUUAAAUCUCCAUUUUAUGAUACUGAUUUCCGAAAAAAGGAUUAUUUUAAAGCAUUGCAAACGUACCAAUGUGAAAUCGUUAUAUAAAAUUUAUGGCCGAUUAAUAUGUUGUGAAGUUUCUUAUAUAUUCAUAAAACGAUUAAAAUCCAUAAAACGAUUCCGCACUCUAGAGUAACGCGGCGCAAUUAAUAUUCCUGAUGUAUUAUUUGCGUAACUACAAAGCAGCGCGCGAUUUACGCUCACGAAUCCCCGAGUUAAUUCCGGGGCAACCCGUAUCGAACGUCAGAACGCGAACAGGUGAGAUAAAACCGGGGAAGCCGUGCAUUGCGACAUACGGGCACACAAUUAUACCUGAGAUAGUUGUGAUUUAAAGUCGCCCGUGGCUGGUGGUUACCUGUCGGCGGUCGCAUCGUAUUGCGGGAAUCGCAAGUACGUUCUCCGACCAGCACACGUAUAAUUGGCCUGUCAGCGAAUGCCCCUAACUGAUUAAUUUAAUCGUGGCUGGUCACGCAGACGCUUUUAACGAGCAUCAAAGGUGCGUCGCGCUUGAUGUUUCCAGGUUGUCGAGAAACGUGACAAUCGUUUUGGACACACGGCGGCGGGACGUGCUACGGUCGGAAAAAUCAUGGGCGAGCUCUUUCGCAUGAAAGAGAAACGCGUUUUACGGUGCAGGGGAUGGCCACGUGUGCGCGCUCAGGUAAAGGUAGCGGAACGGCUGUUCCCUAACGUCGCACGUGUGCCGACGAGAUUAUAUUUCUGGGAAGGUGUCGCCUUGCACAAAGCACCGUGCCAAAAGCCGGCGACCAGACAGCCUGAAAUCAAUUUGCGACUCGCACGCCGUACCGCCGUGUCUCCAUUUCUCGCGCGUUUCGUACCGCUGACCACGACGAAGCUCGACAUGGAUACGUUCUCCGAAUUGUCUAAAAUAAUUUGGCAUUUAUUUCUUUGUGUUAGAUCGACUAUAUCUGGAUAACUCGAUAUUCCAAGUUGCUAUGGAUACAGGUAGUCCAAGUAUCAAUUGGUUGAGCUUGGUCAAAGUAGAGCAGUGAUUCCAGAAUAGACGUCUUAAUUCGUCAAUAAGAUCACCACCCUGUACAGGUAUUUCUUCUCGGGUGGGCGUAGGGUACGUGGGAGGCGAAAUACGUCGCGUGGAUACAGUGGCGUAACAGUAAACAAAGUUGAAAAGAAGGACAUCACGCGAACCGAACCUGUUUGGCCAAGGCAUUACCUAACGAACGUCAUGCAUAUUAUAGGUGCCAAUUAAUUUCCGUUCGCUCUCUGUUUUGCGAAAGUAUCACCAACCGCCUCAGUACUCAGGAGUCGAAUCUGAAGAAACAGUACACAAAACUCUUUUGACAACGUGAUAUAUCAAUUUUCGCAAUUUUGUUCCUUGCAAUUGUAUAUAAUUAUAUAAUAAAUUAAUCGGUUUGGCCUACCGAAUAAUUAGCCACUUUGGAAAAUCGCGCGACGCCCAUGUGUCACGAUCACGAGCGAAAGAAAGGAAAAAAGAGGAGGGAAAAGCUUGUGGAGGCCACGAACGCGCUCACACGGUUACGCUCUUAUUACGUCGCGCGGCAUAGCGUCGUAGGUGUAAUAACAGCGACCGGGCUUGCCAGAGUGUGCACCAAAAUGAUCGUGGUACGUAUCUUGAGGAGAAUGUCGCCCGAGCACUUUUAAAAAUACGAUUUGCGAUCCAUUUGCUGAGAUAGAAGACUUUCUAAAGUGUCGAAAACGUCAAUGGGUUGAAUGUUUAAAUUGACUUGACAGAAUUACGGAUUAUCCAGCAAUAUUAUGGCAAAUGCUGCUAUCGCCAUGGCGUUUUGUAAUCGCCUAAAUUACUGUAUCGCCCGAGUCAGUAAACCUGACAGCGACGCCGACGCUCGUCGCGCGUGGCGUCGCAUCGACCCGUCGUCGUUGCUCCGGACUCGUUCCAGACCGGUUCUGCUCCUCGUAGCCGACUGCACGGAAAAGUGCCGCCGCGAAACCAGACCGCACCGUGUGGCACAUAGAUAAAGUAUUCUAAAGCGUGGAACUUGCAUUAGAAGACUCUAUUCGGGACUUCGCGAUCUCAGGAAAAAUGAACGCGAAUGUCUUUCAAAAGGAAGAAAGGCAGAAAUUCUCUUCUCAGCAACAAAAGUCAGCCAAAAUUAUAUCACAAUCUUCGACGAUUAACGCAGUCUCGUUAAUUAGCACUUUUCUGUUGAAAAUUCAUUUAUUAGAUUUAUCAUUAUUAUUAUAUGUGCAGAAAUAAUUUACAAGUUUUAAUGAAACAUUGUUAUAAUAUGUAGUUAGUCAUUACAACCUUUCGCUCCGUUCAUCGUGGAAUAGAAAUUCAACUCGUCUUUGAUUCUGCUUUAGCACUUCUUCCAAGUCGUCUUUGUUCGAUCAGUCGUCGCUCCUUAUGAUGCCAGGUGCAGAUUAUUGAUUAGCGAUCGGAAUCAUCGCUGCAAAAGUAUUAUGCAAAUCAGGUUUCAUUAAUAAAGUACGAUCAUCGGAUGGUUUCGGAGAUGUGGGCGAUAUCUCGAGGUCUAUCUCAAUGCGACGUGCAUACCGCUCUUCCGCUAUAUAAUAUCGUGCACAGACGCCCCUUUAUUAUUACGGACGCGCGAGUCCUUGCUCAAUAUUCAUAGCGUGUCGCGCAAAAACCGUCUUUGCCGAUGAUAGUCUUGUUACGCGUGUCAUCAUAUAUUACACGAUUCUUGGUACCGUCAGUUUUAACCCUCGGCUGUGAAUAUCUCGUUCUCGCAUUCAGGUCGCUCGUAUUGCGAGCUUUAAUCGAUGGGGCGUAGUUAAAACUUCGUACAUAAUUCAAAGUCUUGGGACAAUAAUACGUUAACAUGCUAAAUCAAUUUUCGAUCUGUACUUAUAUUUAUAUUUAUAGAUUAUGGUGCCAAAGAAGAUAUUACUCAUGUAUAAUUCAAAACGUUAAGGCAGAUAUUAUUUUCUUAAAUUAAUUCAUGAAUAUAAUCUGUGAUUUUGAAUUGCCUUCGUAUUCCGUCUGCCAAAUGCUUGUCAUUUAAAGAAUUAAUAGUUUUUAGCAUCAGCUAAUUAAAAAUACAUUAGUAAAUUAAUACUACAUAAAUACUUUGGCGUAAAUUCAAAA
rnacentral:lncRNA from 1 species